AAACACGAAGCUGGGCUUCAUCUGACACUCCCCCUUUUUACUCGGUAUGCGCCUAGAUGCCUGGCUUCAGAUGGCCCAUCACUAGUGCUACCAGCAGAUGAGCUUUAACCUAACGCUGUUGUUGUGCUGCCUGGAUUUUGGACUUUUGUAUUUCUGGAUUUGCCAUUAAAAUUCACCUUUAUUCGAGAAGGACCUCGCUGCAGCAAACAGAAAGGGGCGGGGACGAACUUUUCCGUCAGUCCCAUACCUUAUUUGGAAAUGGGACUAUUGCAUUCCGGAAAUGAAGGGGGCGCUAUUUUCAUAAUCACUAGUAUAAAUACCUUAAGACGCGGAGUUAAGAGGAAAGGAAGAAGAAAGAAAGAAGUUUGAGAGGUUCUUCCACUGGUGUUCGGCACACGAUCAACAAUGCAAACCUCACAAAGUCAACAAAAGAUCCACGUAUCUAUUUGCAACAUUCGGAACGUAGAGAAGAUUCUUCCGUAUUGCAUGAACAUAAAUAUUGCUGUCCCCUUUGCUCAUACAAGCUACAGAACCACAUAGCACAAACUGCUAUGGUUCAACAUAUCGAUGCCUUUAAAUGUUCUUGAAGCUGUUCUCCAGGAGGUGAUACCAGCACAGGGAGACUCAGCCUACCUCACCUUGGCAUUGACCUGCAAGUGCUUUGAAGCCGUUGAGUCUGACCCAGUUUUCAGGAAGAAGACUCACUUUGCUUGGCUGGAUGGUGAGAUCAACUGGGGCAAAUUUUCAAAAACAUUCAAGGCAGAAAACCGGAUUUCUUUUGCGGUUGUAACGUGUUUUUCCUGCAACCGGUAAUAUAAAGACUGUGGGCUUCACUGGCAAUGGAAGACGAGGAGAGUACCCUGGUUACUACUGUGAUGGCCGACCUGGACACUGCACUGGCUGUCAAUACUGAAUGCAAGGAGAAUAUUAGUUGCUUUCCACAGUCUUUCACACAUUUCAGUUGUCACACAUUGUUCGUUUUUUUUGUGACAGGCCAUUUUAAAUCAUUUCUGCUAAAGAAUAUUUGCCUUUUGACUUGUGCAGUCAUCCUUUUUAAUAAUGUGUUCUUUCAAUAUUAUUUACAUUUUUGAAUGUUCCUUUUGUUGUAGUUCAGUUGAUUUGCAUUAUUUAGUUUUCAUAGAAAUUGUGCCGUUUCCACACAAAGUUGCAUUGUGGCUGUAAUUUGUUGGAGAGAGUAGAACCAAUAAAGUAGUUGUAAAUAUAUUGUAA